rnacentral:lncRNA from 1 species
UUGUUUUGAACUUAAACUCUUAUCAUAUAAGAGUCCAAGAUCAUUCAAACUCUAUCUUCUCCCUUGGGCCAUCAAUUAUAGAAGGGGAGGGGUCUUGGGCAUUGAAAUAAUUUGUCAUCAAUCCUAAAUCUAAGUGCUGCUGCCCCAUCUCCCUACUUCCACCUAGAUCCACAUGCCCCAUCCUCUUCGUCAGCCACCUU